rnacentral:SRP_RNA from 1 species
AAUAGAGCCAUCUAAACAAUAACCCACUAACUUGGUCAGGACAGAAAUGUAGCAGCCAUAUGAGGAAGUGUUGUGUUAGUUGGUCUUUUUUUAC